UACGUAGGGGGCAAGCGUUGUCCGGAAUCAUUGGGCGUAAAGCGCGUGUAGGCGGUUCGGUAAGUCUGCUGUGAAAGUCCAGGGCUCAACCCUGGGAUGCCGGUGGAUACUGUCGGACUAGAGUACGGAAGAGGCGAGUGGAAUUCCCGGUGUAGCGGUGAAAUGCGCAGAUAUCGGGAGGAACACCAAUUGCGAAGGCAGCUCGCUGGGACGUCACUGACGCUGAGACGCGAAAGCCAGGGGAGCAAACGGG
rnacentral:rRNA from 1 species